GUUUGAAGAGCAUGUGCUCGAAUUCUAAGUUGUUUUCCGACCUUAAUGGAACCUGUAAGAUUUAAGCUCUCAACUCCUAAUAUGUGGUUGAGUCAUCUCUAUAUUUAGAAUUGGAGUGAAUCUACAGGUCUAACAUGGUUUACUUACCAGGCGGACAGUGUUUGCAGUUGCAGCUAUGACCGCGGGCGACCAUUACUACGUCAAUGGGAGAGGCACAGUGAUUACAAAACUGCAUGGAACUGGUGAGUAUGCUUUCCAAUGGCUAUUUCAAACAGCAGGACGACACAUCAUGGCAUGACAUAAAACCACAUAACCACCAUCCGCUACCUAUAACCAUAUCUAAAUGUUUAGGAGAUAGUGAGUCAAGUAUGUCUAGUCACUACACUGACCAUAGCCUUUCGAGGAAACUAAAUAUGAAUAUUGUACCCCAUGUUGCACCGAUGAAUAAUACACUGUGUAGGCUAAGAUAUUAAUAGGGUUUAUUUGGGAUGCACUAGAAAAAUAAUGCGUUUGUCUUCGUUCCUCAUCGACUUGCCAGAGUCAACAGGGCCGCGGUCAAUUAAUUCAGAUAUUGGUGUGUUUUGGUAGGAGCCUACAAAACGCUACCCCUUGCCCAACCGCUUUCUAUUUGCGUUGUUAGAUAAAAACUAACAAGUGUAACGAAAUAUGAAUCAACGACAAGGCCUACCUCCUAGAAAGACGUAACUGGGUGAGUUUUUAGUUUUGUAAUCAUUUGUGCCGCUGAUAGUUGGGACUGGAAGCAACGUCGGAUGACUUUAAGAACGUCUUUGAGUUUAAUUGUCACCGAGGUUCUCACGUGGCCUCAGGUCACACCGGGGUCAAACAUGAUGUUGGCGUCAUCAAUGCUCUCUAAUUUUUUCGUCUUGUAGUCCGUUUCCGUUGUUUAAGAUGCAAUGCUUCACAAACUAUGGUCUUGAUCGGUGCAGUAAUAUUUGGGACAAGGCGAUAUCCUGGUUAGAUAUUCUAUAGGCCUACACUAAUUAAAUCCGUAAACUCCUAAGGAUUAUAGCCCUGCAACUAAACAAUCAGCAGCAAUGCAUAAUUUAGUGCACCUAAAUAAACACCUUAAUAAAAAUGGAAAGACAUCUGUGGAAUGUGGAGGACAGCCCCUCUCUUAAUCCUCUUAUGGUGAUAGUGAAAAUGUUAUUUACACAUUGCUAUUCAUUUUAAUACCAUUAAAAAAAAUUGCUGGAAAUAAUUACAAGGUUGACAUUUUUUAGUUCAAUUGUUUUAUUGUAGAUCAAUCAAAACAUCCAUGUAAUGGCACCGCCAAAUCCACUUCUUAGUAUGUGGUCAUCACCUUAAAAAAAGAAAGCAUUUUGGCAUGUUAUUUUCAUAGUCAUAAUAAAAUCACCAAAUGUGGUAAAUCGUUCUAAUAUGUUAUCUGAUCUCACAUGUUUUUUUGGUAGUAUAGCUUGUUUUGUAUUUUUGGUGAAAAAAAUAUAUUUUUCUAGCGAACAUUUAAUCCAACAAGAAAAAUAUGACUUUUUAAUUUGCCAUUCAAUUUCUCAGCAUUAUUUUUGAAUUCCAACAACCUGAACCUUUAAAUUCCACCAACACUGUUCUCAAUUAAGAACACAGAUCUAACCCCAUUAAGGAGCCUUACAUUGGGAAUCAAACCCAGUACCUUCCCGCCUGGCACUCAGACACCCUGGCAACCCCGACACUGUUUACACCCUACCUCGGCUUAGGCAAGCCGAGGUAGGGUGUAAACCGACCUGUGGCGGUAGAGGCUGGAGGCUACUCACGUUGUUGAUCCAGGGGAUGUAGGCGCUCACACGGGUGAAGACGGAGGGCUUCUUGGGGUAGUUGCAGCCCAUGCUGGAGCCGAAGCUCACCACUCCGUGGACGUCCCAGGACCCAUCAGUGUUCUGGCAGUUCAGGGGUCCACCAGAG